CGCCUCCCGGCCCCGCCGCCGCCGCCGCCGCCGGGCAGGAUCUAUAAGAUACGGAUGUAGAGACACAGAGAGGUAAUGACAUUUACUGUAUACUAUUGGAUAGAGCAUCCCUGACUUGAAGACCUAGACUCCUGAGCACUCAUCAAUAGCUCCAAGGUGGCAAAGCUGUGCUUCCACCAUUAAAGCAAGCUCAAGCUAGCAUACUGAAGAGACCUGCCAAGAUCAGCAAAGCUGACUACAGAUGGACAAGCGAACCCAGCUGAGAACAGAGCAUUGCCUGGCCACCCUGUGGAUUCUUCCCUCUUUUUUCUUUCUCUCCCUU